UACGUAGGGUGCGAGCGUUGUCCGGAAUUACUGGGCGUAAAGAGCUCGUAGGUGGUUUGUCGCGUUGUCCGUGAAAACUCACAGCUUAACUGUGGGCGUGCGGGCGAUACGGGCAGACUGAGUACUGCAGGGGAGACUGGAAUUCCUGGUGUAGCGGUGGAAUGCGCAGAUAUCAGGAGGAACACCGGUGGCGAAGGCAGUUCUCUGGGCCGUAACUGACGCUGAGGAGCGAAAGCGUGGGGAGCGAACG
rnacentral:rRNA from 1 species